rnacentral:rRNA from 1 species
AGAGUUUGAUCCUGGCUCAGGAUGAACGCUAGCGGCAGGCUUAACACAUGCAAGUCGAGGGGUAUAGUUCUUCGGAACUAGAGACCGGCGCACGGGUGCGUAACGCGUAUGCAAUCUACCUUUUACAGAGGGAUAGCCCAGAGAAAUUUGGAUUAAUACCUCAUAGCAUUGCAGAAUGGCAUCAUUCAGCAAUUAAAGUCACAACGGUAAAAGAUGAGCAUGCGUCCCAUUAGCUAGUUGGUAAGGUAACGGCUUACCAAGGCUACGAUGGGUAGGGGUCCUGAGAGGGAGAUCCCCCACACUGGUACUGAGACACGGACCAGACUCCUACGGGAGGCAGCAGUGAGGAAUAUUGGACAAUGGGCGCAAGCCUGAUCCAGCCAUGCCGCGUGCAGGAUGACGGUCCUAUGGAUUGUAAAACUGCUUUU